CCUACGGGUGGCAGCAGUGGGGAAUAUUGGGCAAUGGGCGCAAGCCUGACCCAGCAACGCCGCGUGAAGGAAGACGGCUUUCGGGUUGUAAACUUCUUUUCUCAGGGACGAAGCAAGUGACGGUACCUGAUGAAUAAGCCACGGCUAACUACGUGCCAGCAGCCGCGGGAAUACGUAGGUGGCAAGCGUUAUCCGGAUUUACUGGGUGUAAAGGGCGUGUAGGCGGGGACGCAAGUCAGAUGUGAAAACCACGGGCUCAACCUGUGGCCUGCAUUUGAAACUGUGUUUCUUGAGUACUGGAGAGGCAGACGGAAUUCGUAGUGUAGCGGUGAAAUGCGUAGAUAUUAGGAGGAACACCAGUGGCGAAGGCGGUCUGCUGGACAGCAACUGACGCUGAGGCGCGAAAGCGUGGGGAGCAAACAGGAUUAGAUACCCGGGUAGUC
rnacentral:rRNA from 1 species